UAGGAAAUCAUACACUCAAGACCUUGACCAGAGAGUUCUGGGAGCAAGCACCGCUUUGGCAGCCAUACCAGAUAUGCACAGGAAGGCUGUUCUGCUUCAUACCCUCCUCUGGAUGAUCCAUGGAACAAUGAAGACUUGCAUGGAGAGCCGUUGCAGAAUCAAACCAUGUGCUUGUAGGUGCACUCUCCAGGAUUUUGGGCGCGCAUGCACACGCACACAGC